rnacentral:lncRNA from 1 species
UUCUACUUACUUUAUGAAUGUUACUGGUUAAUUAUUGAUGGGUUAUGGGUUUAUAUUUCUAUCGUGGAAUUGGAAAUGCUGUUAGGUGUAGAGAAAUUGAAUAAGUUCAUCUUUCUAAUUCUAGUUGAAGUUAAGAUCUGAAUUUAAAAAUUGAGUCCCCUGGAAAGAAGAUAGUAACUGAUUUUGGCAAUUGUGAAGUUAGAUUGUCAUCAAUUUUUGGAUCAUAAUAAAUUAAUAAAUGUAAUUUGCUGAAUUUUUUUGACAGUCUUCUCCAGUUCUCCAUAUAUUUUUCGUACCAGAGCUUAGGUGGGUCAUUGAGGACAGUGA